GGGUUGUGAGGUUAAGCGACUAAGCGUACACGGUGGAUGCCCUGGCAGUCAGAGGCGAUGAAGGGCGUGCUAAUCUGCGAUAAGCGCCGGUAAGGUGAUAUGAACCGUUAUAACCGGCGAUACCCGAAUGGGGAAACCCAGUGUGACUCGUCACACUAUCAUUAACUGAAUCCAUAGGUUAAUGAGGCGAACCGGGGGAACUGAAACAUCUAAGUACCCCGAGGAAAAGAAAUCAACCGAGAUUCCCCCAGUAGCGGCGAGCGAACGGGGAGGAGCCCAGAGCCUGAAUCAGCAUAUGUGUUAGUGGAAGCGUCUGGAAAGGCGCGCGAUACAGGGUGACAGCCCCGUACACAAAAGCGCAUGUGCUGUGAGCUCGAUGAGUAGGGCGGGACACGUGGUAUCCUGUCUGAAUAUGGGGGGACCAUCCUCCAAGGCUAAAUACUCCUGACUGACCGAUAGUGAACCAGUACCGUGAGGGAAAGGCGAAAAGAACCCCGGCGAGGGGAGUGAAAAAGAACCUGAAACCGUGUACGUACAAGCAGUGGGAGCCCCACCACUAAGCCAGUGGUGAACUCCACAUACGCAUCCUUUGCUGAGGAUACGGUUAACGGAGCGAAAGCGACGUUCAACCUCAAAAGAAGCAGAGGGGGCUUAGU
rnacentral:rRNA from 1 species